rnacentral:rRNA from 1 species
UACGGGGGGAGCAAGCGUUGUUCGGAUUUACUGGGCGUAAAGGGCGCGUAGGCGGUCAGUGCAAGUGGGUUGUGAAAUCUCCGGGCUUAACUCGGAAAGGUCAACUGAUACUGCUCGACUAGAGUGCGGAAGGGGCAACUGGAAUUCUUGGUGUAGCGGUGAAAUGCGUAGAUAUCAAGAGGAACACCUGCGGCGAAGGCGGGUUUCUGGGCCGACACUGACGCUGAGGCGCGAAAGCUAGGGGAGCGAACGGG